rnacentral:rRNA from 1 species
GAUGAACGCUAGCGGCAGGCUUAAUACAUGCAAGUCGUGGGGCAGCAUGAGUAGCAAUACUUGAUGGCGACCGGCAAACGGGUGAGGAACACGUACACAACCUUUCUUCAAGCGGGGAAUAGCCCAGAGAAAUUUGGAUUAAUACCCCAUAAUAUAUUUGAUAAGGCAUCUUAUUAAUAUUAAAGCUUCGGCACUUGAUGAUGGGUGUGCGGCUGAUUAGAUAGUUGGCGGGUAACGGCCCACCAAGUCUACGAUCAGCAGCUGAUGUGAGAGCAUGAUCAGCCACACGGGCACUGAGACACGGGCCCGACUCCUACGGGAGGCAGCAGUAAGGAAUAUUGGACAAUGGACGAAAGUCUGAUCCAGCCAUGCCGCGUGAAGGAUUAAGGUCCUCUGGAUUGUAAACUUCUUUUAUAUGGGACGAAAAAGGGCAUUCUUGUUCACUUGACGGUACCAUAUGAAUAAGCACCGGCUAACUCCGUGCCAG